GCCCAUGCUAGCGUUCGGUCAGCUCCCCCUUGCCUGCGCACGCUGCGCAGGGUUUGCAGGUGACCGGGGAGACGCCCGGGCGUGACGUGACGUCACGGCCCGGGAAUUUAAAAGUGCGGUGCCGGCCUAGCUGUGGUUCGGAGUUUGGGGACUGAGCACAGAUUCCGGCCCCGCAAGCGGAAAGCAGAACGUACGUCAGGGACUGAAGAUGCCAGUACAGAAUAUGCAAGUGUCUACAAAAUGACUACAGUGCCAGAGGAUGUGAUCCAAGAGUAUUUAAUACAUGGGAAAAUAGCCAUAGGCACUUGAUGGAAAUGAAAGCCACCCAGACCCUUUGCAACAUGUGGAAGGAACACUGUGCUCCAUUAAUUGCAGAUGCUGUUUUCAAUUUAAAGCUCACACUGGGACUAAUCAGUAAGUAACAUGAAAUAUCUUUUCUAUCAGGAAGGACACAAAGGAAUUGGACUUGCAGUCAGAUUGUAGGAUGUGGGCAACCAAGAGAGCUCAGUGUGGCUCCCUUCUGGGGAAAAGGAUUAACAGACACCUCAGCCAUCUGUGUUAAAUAGAAAUAGUUCUGCAUCUGGUUACAAAUCCUUGUAUUGGACAAUAAGUCAUAUUUGCUGGUAUUCAGAGUAGUCCAUUCAUGUUUCAGAGACCUGGCUUUGACCAUGGUCAUUUUAUAAAUUGGUAAAAUAUUAAUAAAUUAAAAAUAUUAAACCAUUUAUAAAAAUCUCCACUCCAGUACUGUCGAGUUUCAGGAAUUUUGCUUACUCAACUCUUUAUUUCCCUUUGAAAUAUCACCUCCUCCUCAGAGUUGACCAUAUUUGACU